rnacentral:misc_RNA from 1 species
GUUGAGCGCUCACGCUUAUCGGCUGUGAAUUAAGACAGACUCAGGGGUCUGUAGCUCAGUUGGUUAGAGCACCGUCUUGAUAAGGCGGGGGUCGAUGGUUCGAAUCCAUCCAGACCCACCACUGUUUCUGCGGUGGCUGCGCUGAUCACUGAACCCCUGAGGGAUCUAUACGGAUAGCACUAUCUGUGUAUGACUGGGGGAUUAGCUCAGCUGGGAGAGCACCUGCUUUGCAAGCAGGGGGUCGUCGGUUCGAUCCCGUCAUCCUCCACCAAUCUUCAAUGCGCAGCGUUCUGCAACAGGGCAGAGUGUUUUGCAUUGGCGAUUGAGCCAGUCAGAGUGAUACGCGGUUAUAGCAACUGCGAUAUCGGCUGUCGUUCUUUAACAAUCAGGAAGAAGUAGUAAAGAGAUUCACGAAAGCGUGUCUAGAGAUGGGCAUGUGAGUAGGUGAAUCAGGGUUGUGAUUGUAUCAAUGUAUGAAAAGGUAAUCGAAAGAUUGCCUUGGAAUACGGCGCAACACGAAUACUCAACCUGUAGCGAAGUGGGUUUCGAAAGAGACACACCCGUUAUAGGGUCAAGCGAACAAGUGCAUGUGGUGGAUGCCUUGGCGAUCACAGGCGAUGAAGGACGCGGUAGCCUGCGAAAAGCUACGGGGAGCUGGCAAACGAGCUUUGAUCCGUAGAUGUCCGAAUGGGGAAAACCCCGGA